GCGCUUAACACAUGCAAGUCGCACGAGAAAGGGAGCAAUCCUAAGUAAAGUGGCGCACGGGUGAGUAACACGUGGAUCAUCUACCUUUUAGUGGGGAAUACCCCCGGGAAACUGGGGACAAUUCCGCAUAAUCUCGCGAGAGGAAAGCCGAAAGGCGCUGAAAGAGGAGUCCGCGGCUGAUUAGCUGGUUGGUGAGGUAAUGGCUCACCAAGGCAAAGAUCGGUAGCCGGCCUGAGAGGGCACACGGCCACACUGGCACUGGAACACGGGCCAG
rnacentral:rRNA from 1 species